UCUCCUAUGGCGCAAUUGGUGGCGCGUCUGACUGUUAAACACUAGGUCAUGGCAUCAGAAGGUUGUUGGUUCGAUCCCAACUGGGAGAG